AGGCUCAUUAGCACGAGCUUCCUUUAAUGGCUAGCACAAAAUAGGUGUUUAAUAAAUGACCUUGUUGAUGAAGAGGAUUAAUGAACCAAAUCUGCAUUGUUUUGCUUAAUUAGGUAUAUUUAUUUAGGCAUGUAUUAUUAGCAAAGCAUUUUGGAGAUCUGAGGAAAUGAUCUGGACAAUUUUAAGACAGAAAUCCUGAUAUUUAGCUAGCAGUUAUUUUAGGUGUAAAUAAUCAAUGAUGUUAAGUAGAUUCAAUUAAAUAAUUGUUCAAAUGUAUUUUGCUUCCUUAGACAAAGGGUAGAUAUAAACUAUACCACGUGGCAUAGUCUUUUUGUUCAAAAAGGUAGUCAGUCUGUCUUUGAAAGAUCAACUUGACCUAAAAUUGUAAUUCAGUAUAUCUUCAUAUAAAAUUAUUAAUUUUUUAUCCACAGAAUUAUUUUCAACAGCAUUGAUUGCAAUAGUUUUGCGAUUAUGCUUUCCUUUAGAUAAUAAGCCAAUGACUUCUUCCGUCUUACUUUAUGCGUAAUAGAAUUGUUAUAAGAGAAUUAAACCUGAGAGUACUUCCAUUAUUGGAAGAAUUUCUCCUGUCAGCUUUUUGUCAACUGCUUAUAAAACUGUAGAAGAAAAAUUAUUCUUCAAUAUACGGUUUUCAUUAUGCAUUAGAUGCCUUUAAUAUUCCUAAGUGCCAUAAUUUCACAUAUGGCGUGUGUCACCUGGUGUAUGUAAACAUGAAAUUACUUGGAGAUUAUUGCAUAGUUAUAUCAAAAUGCUGAGCAGAAAAAAAAAUGACAUCUAAUAUUCACCCAGGGUUUAGACAAUACAUUUUUGUUUGAUGUGAAAGCAUUCAUAAUUUCAUCACAGAAGAGCAUUUUUCAGUGGUGCUCCCAGAUUGCCUGCAAAAGAUAAUUCCUCCCUUGUGGACAGGCUUCUAUCUCAUGCCCUCCGCAUGCCGCUGGUUUAUCUGUGCAGGGAGGGACACCCAAAGGGGGACAGUGAGCCCACUGUGUCUUUUAGAACCCAAAGUGAGUUACUGCAAACCUCAGGCAAUUGAAGUGAAUAUUGGCUAGCUCAAAAGGCUGUGAAGAUGACCACCGUAUCUAUCUGAGUAAUUUUUUUCUUCUGUCUCAGUCUUGAAAUCAGGCAUGGUUAUUUUUAUUUUCGGUGUAUGCAGCUUAACCUAUGUGCUUAUAUUCACAAUGAACUCUUGAAUCGGAUCCUCUGUGUUUUGCUGGGGAGUAUUCAUUCCCCACUUGACCUGCUUUGUUGCUCAAAACUUUGUAGCUCAUCAUUGCCUUCCCGUCUGUUUAUUCUUGGUGUGGGGUUGUCAAGGAGAAAUGUUGGAAGAGAGAGAAGGGAGCAGGCAUCAUAGAUGGUAUUACAGGCGGCUGGUCUCUCCUCUCUCAGCCAACUAUGAGAACUAUUUGGGAUUGAAGGAGAUAAGCUACAGCAAGUCGUUACUUGUCCUGAAUGCACGACCUUCUUUCUUUGAGCAAGAGGACAAACCUGGGUAGGGAUCUCUAUGAUGUUUUCUGCGUUGCCUGUGGACGUUCAUCUUUCUGAUUUGUUAGCUGAAGAUGAGGAUCUGGAGCAGGAGCUCGGAGUGCCAUUGUUCCAUGGGCAGAUGUGCGGCAGAGAUUUCCUAGGCCACUAAGACGUCAGGGGAGCUGAUAUACACUUCCAAGAACAAGGAGACAUCAAAGGGAGCUGAGAGUCCACAGCGGCAGCAAAACAGAUGCUGCUUCACAUGCCCUUUGCUAAGAGUCCUGGAGUUUGAAGUCUCCACGGCUGAUCUAAAAGCAAGUUCCUGAGGAAGGAGCCGGAAAGUUCUCUUAAACCAGUAGUGAAAGCUACUCUUUAAUAAAACAAAAUGUUACCAUGCUUCUGGAAAGAUUCCACACAUCAAAUAUUGAAUAAAAAGGACAAUUCGAUUAA